GGCAGUCUUGGGUGACACACCCAGGAAUCGGGCUCCCUCCUCUCUGGUUCUGGGUGUGUCACCUGAAAACUACA
rfam:Myotis lucifugus cont2.22527, whole genome shotgun sequence.